rnacentral:rRNA from 1 species
GGACCAGACUCCUACGGGAGGCAGCAGUGGGGAAUAUUGGGCAAUGGGCGCAAGCCUGACCCAGCAACGCCGCGUGAAGGAAGAAGGCUUUCGGGUUGUAAACUUCUUUUCUCAGGGACGAAGCAAGUGACGGUACCUGAGGAAUAAGCCACGGCUAACUACGUGCCAGCAGCCGCGGUAAUACGUAGGGGGCAAGCGUUAUCCGGAUUUACUGGGUGUAAAGGGGGCGCAGACGGCGAUGCAAGCCAGGAGUGAAAGCCCGGGGCCCAACCCCGGGACUGCUCUUGGAACUGCGUGGCUGGAGUGCAGGAGGGGCAGGCGGAAUUCCUGGUGUAGCGGUGAAAUGCGUAGAUAUCGGGAGGAACACCAGUGGCGAAGGCGGCCUGCUGGACAUUAACUGACGCUGAGGCGCGAAAGCGUGGGGAGCAAACAGGAUUAGAUACCCGUGUAU